rnacentral:rRNA from 1 species
AGCUCCAAUAGCGUAUAUUAAUGUUGUUGCAGUUAAAAAGCUCGUAGUUGGAUUUCUGGUCGGAUCGCCUGGCCGGCUCCGCAAGGGGUCGUGCAUGGGUGCCUUCGUCCAUCCUCAGGGGGCCAGGCGCUGGUAUUCAUUUAUCGGUGUUUGAACGCCUGUCGUUUACUGUGAACAAAUUAGAGUGUUCAAAGCAAGGUGUACUUGAAUACAUUAGCAUGGAAUAAUAAGAUAGGACUUUGGUGGUUCUUUUUGAUAUUUUGUUGGUUUGCACGCCAAAGUAAUGAUUAAUAGGAGCAGUUGGGGGUAUUCGUAUUCAAUUGUCAGAGGUGAAAUUCUUGGAUUUAUAGAAGACGAACUACUGCGAAAGCAUUUACCAAGGAUGUUUUCAUUAAUCAAG